rnacentral:rRNA from 1 species
UUACUUUACUGGGAAGAGAGGAGGCGGGGAGAGAGUGCGUCAAGUGUGUGAGGAGAGGGAGAGGAGGAGGAGAGGAGUGGGGUGGUUUUGGAUUCGUUCUUCCCGGUCUCCUCGAGGCUUAGGUCCGAGCGUACCGGUUGGAGGACGUGGAGGGCCUGGAGCGCCGCCGGUCUGGCGGGCGCGGGCCGCAGCGCGCCUCCUCCCCCCGCUCCCAGCACCGCCGCCGCCGGCCCCCGGCGCACUUCGUCCUCCUCCGGCCCCGCCCCUGCCCCUCCCCCGCCCACUAGUCCCAGUGCCUGGGGCACGCCCUGCCCUCCGACGGCCACGGCCGGGGCGGCGGCGAGAAGAGGCACGGCUACUGCGGCCGGAGCCUCAGCGGCCGCCGCUGGUGCGCGGCCCUACUGCUGCUCCUCCUUGCCGCGUCCAUGAUGGAAUUGGACCCGAUGCGGUAGGCGUGCGAGUCCCUCCUCUAUGGGCUGCAGAAGAUGUUCCUCGGGUCGAAGCUAUAGAUGUCUCUACUAUAGCAGAAGUCUUUGGGAAAGUUAUUUAAGCUCCCGUAACUGUUAAUGUCUUCAGAUAAGACCCCUAACGCGAAAUGACCUGCAUAGAAGAAAUUUCGUAAUACCCAACUAUAUCAAUCAUAUACCGUCGGACGGCUCUUAGAAUAAUACUAAGCGACCUAACGGGUGCCGUAAGGAUCUCAGGGUACCCUACCGGUACGGGCGAAACUACCACGGAGGCAAAUGUUUGAGCUGUCCUUACCCUUCUAGAUACUCGUAUUCCAUGUAUUGUAACGAUGCUGGGGUGGCUGUUUCAUGUUCCAGGACAGACAUGUUCUCGAUCAGUCUAGUGAAUCGACAGGCAGGUGAGGUUUUGGUUGCAUAAAGCUCCGAAGUAGAGUUAGAAACUCGUGCCGCAGCGAAAUAAGCUCCAACCGUACCUAGUCUGCGGAUCGUUUAGAGUCUCCUCCUAUCCCACCCAGAAUCGUGCUAUGAAUGUUUUAGAUGGAAAAACAACAUAACAUCAAUGGUCAGUGACUACUCAUCAUGACUUAGUAUUGACAACAUAUAUACAUGUCUCUGUUUAAAUAUGUCUUAUUUCAACGAGAACCAACUCGAUUAAACCCCCACACGGACGAGGCCAAGGACUUCAGCGGCUAGACCUGUAACGUUGCCAGAGGUUUUGGCGCUCAGACUGAUGAUUAUGAUAACGUCAUAAUAUAGAUAUUCAGGUCUGAUUUUAAUAUAUAACACUUGUUAUACUUCAGGUCGUAAUAAUAUGGAUUUUAAUAUAUAACACUUGGUGUACUUCAGGUCUUAAGAAACACAGAUAAAACAGUACAACAUUUAUGAGUCUUGUCUUACCAACUCAUUUAGUUGACCUUUCUUGUUUCCACGUUGCAAGGGA